GACGAACGCUGGCGGCGUGCUUAACACAUGCAAGUCGAGCGGUAAGGCCCUUUCGGGGGUACACGAGCGGCGAACGGGUGAGUAACACGUGGGUGACCUGCCCUCAGCUCUGGGAUAAGCCUGGGAAACCGGGUCUAAUACCGGAUAUGACUCCAUGACGCAUGUUGUGGGGUGGAAAGCCUUGUGCGGCUGAGGAUGGGCCCGCGGCCUAUCAGCUUGUUGGUGGGGUGAUGGCCUACCAAGGCGACGACGGGUAGCCGGCCUGAGAGGGCGACCGGCCACACUGGGACUGAGACACGGCCCAGACUCCUACGGGAGGCAGCAGUGGGGAAUCUUGCGCAAUGGGCGAAAGCCUGACGCAGCGACGCCGCGUGAGGGAUGACGGCCUCGGU
rnacentral:rRNA from 1 species